AGCGAACGCUGGCGGCAGGCUUAACACAUGCAAGUCGAGCGGGCACUUCGGUGUCAGCGGCAGACGGGUGAGUAACACGUGGGAACGUACCCUUCGGUUCGGAAUAACGCUGGGAAACUAGCGCUAAUACCGGAUACGCCCUUUUGGGGAAAGGUUUACUGCCGAAGGAUCGGCCCGCGUCUGUUUAGCUAGUGGGUGGGGUAAUGGCCUAACAAGGCGACGAUCAGUAGCUGGUCUGAGAGGAUGAUCAGCCACACUGGGACUGAGACACGGCGCAGACUCCUACGGGAGGCAGCAGUGGGGAAUAUUGGAAAAUGGGCGCAAGGCUGAUCCAGCCAUGCCGCGUGAGUGAUGAAGGCCUUAGGGUUGUAAAGCUCUUUUGUCCGGGACGAUAAUGACGGUACCGGAAGAAUAAGCCCCGGCUAACUUCGUG
rnacentral:rRNA from 1 species